UCCCACCUGGGAAGUACGAUCGCGAGAUUGAAACUCAAAGGAAUUGGCGGGGGUCCGCACAAGCGGUGGAGCAGGUGGUUUAAUUCGAUGAUACGCGAGGAACCUUACCUGGGCUAGAAUGCUGGGAGACCGUGGGUGAAAGCUCACUUCGUAGCAAUACACUGCCAGUAAGGUGCUGCAUGGCUGUCGUCAGCUCGUGCCGUGAGGUGUUGGGUUAAGUCCCGCAACGAGCGCAACCCCCAUCCACUAGUUGCCAUCAGGUAACGCUGGGAACUCUAGUGAAACUGCCGUCGUAAGACGUGAGGAAGGAGGGGAUGAUGUCAAGUCAUCAUGGCCUUUAUGCCCAGGGCUACACACGUGCUACAAUGGAGUGGACAAAGGGCUGCAACAUAGCGAUAUGAAGCUAAUCCCAAAAACCACUUCUCAGUUCAGAUUGGAGUCUGCAACUCGACUCCAUGAAGCUGGAAUCGCUAGUAAUCGUAUAUCAGCAAUGAUACGGUGAAUACGUUCCCGGACCUUGCACACACCGCCCGCCAAGCCAUGGAAGCUGGGUGUACCUAAAGUCGGUAACCGUAAGGAGCCGCCUAGGGUAAAACUAGUGACUGGGGCUAAGUCGUAACAAGGUAACCGUAAAGGGCGAAUU
rnacentral:rRNA from 1 species